AAACGUAUUCAAACGCGCUAGCAGUGAAAACGUUGUUGCAUUAAAUGUGAAUACCACAAGAGAGUGAAAAAGAGAAAAUAUUUAUAUUUAUCAAACGAGUGAAUGAAUAAAAAGGAUAACAAAAUGGAAAUUAUAAAAAAGAAAAAAUAAAUAAAAACAGCCCAGUGCUUUAAGGUGCAGUAGAGGCGAAUGAGGCCCCUCUUUAAAAAAAAACACAACAGAAAGCAAUCUGUCAGAAAGUGAGAAAAAAGUAAUGGAAACACAAAAUUAUUAGCUUGGCCAAAAAUUGAUUAAAUAAAAAGUGAAACUAAUUCUUUAAAACCAAACAAAAAAAAACAUUAAAAGAGAGUUUAAACGAAAUAAUAAACUUCUGCCACAACAGUUCUCACCAACGAAAGUGUAAAACAAUAAAAGGAAGAUUGCUAACAUAACCGGAAGUCGUGUUUUGAAAACGUAAAAGUAACGGUGAAUGUCAUAUAUAACCUAAUGACAAAUAGCUUCAGUGUGUGUGCGCGCUUAUGUUAUUCGCUUUAAACCCAAUUUUAAUCAAUUCAGCAGUCUUUAGUAUUUGUAAACAGAAGACGAUAAUUUUUCAGAUUGAAGGAAAUAAACGCAAACAUGUUCCGCUUAACUAGCUCCAGGAAAUAGUAGAGCGUUGCGUUCCAAAAACAAUUACUUGAAUCAACAAUUAACUAAAUACCAUGUAACAAAAAUACAAAAAAAAAAACAAAAUAAAAAAAUAAACAUAAAACUAUUUGAGUAUAACCUGUAUCAUCAAAAUACAAAAUAAAAUUGAGUUGACAUUUUCAAUGUUGUUAUUGAAUUGUUAUAUUUUUUGAGAAACUAAUAAGCAAGCUAACGAACAAAUACUUUAUUCAUAUGUAUAUGUACAUGUAUGUAUGCCACCAAAACUAUCUGUAUAUGAACAACACAUCUAUCUAUACUACUAUUCUUACCCUAAAAACAGACAUUCCAGAACCAACCUAUCAACCAUACUGCAUUACUUGCUUAGUAUGCAAUGCCACCUUCCUAUCCUGCCACUCUCGUCAAUAUUUGUUUCUACUGACAACUCCAACAACAACAACUCCAUAACUAACAACUACAGCUACAAUAACCAAUCAAACACCACUGUAUUGUAUUCUUAUCAACUUCUCCUAGUUGUGUUUGUGUUUCUUUGUGAAUGCCUUCUGUUUUUUUGUGUGCGUGAGAGUGUUUGUCUCUGUAUUUGAAAAAGAAAAAUCGAAAUAGCCAAGAAAGGACACAGCUUAAAUAUUAAUUGCAUACAUCUCUGCAAUUCCCUGAUGUCCUUUGUCCCUUAACAAUUAUUCAAAUUAUAUCCUUAAUAUUUUUAAAACUUUUCCCGAAAUAUAAACAAACAAAAAACAAUCGUUGUAAAAUUACAAUUAUACCAAAAUCAUCACCACAAAACAAAAAAAAUAACAACAAAACUUUUCUAAAAUAUACACAACAACAAUAACUAUCUAACUAACUUAUCUGCAAUCUCCAAUCGUUACAAUAUUGAGGUUCAUGUUAUCCAGUAAACUUUAAGGUGAG
rnacentral:sRNA from 1 species